ensembl:misc_RNA Y_RNA Y RNA
GGCUAGUGGGAGUACAAUGGGUAUUUACAACCAUCAAUCGCCAUCAGUUACAGAUUCCUUUGUUCCUUCACUCCCACUGCUUCACUUGACUAGCCUAAA